GCCCCGCUGCUGCUUUGCAUCAGAAAGCCUUGCGCCCCGGGCAGCCUCCGCCCUCAGCCCCAGCUUGGGGCUGGACCCCAGCCUCCAGCCUCACCUCCUGCCGGCCUCUCUGCUUGCCCUCCCCGCCCCAGAGGGGGGGUGGGAGGCCUUGAGAUUGUCCCCGGUACCCCAAGGACGCCGAGGUUACGGGAAGUUUGGGGACUCGGACUUGGGAUGGAGUGAAUAUCAGACAGCUACAAGGAAGGAUUUAGAAGCAGGCCACUUGGCCACUUGGGAUUUACUAGCCAGCAGACUCCCUGGCUAGUUGAGUGUGUGAGUGUUUGCCUGUAACUGUACCUGUACACAUGCCUACUUGGUGGCCUAGGAGGCCAGAAGAAGGUGGUCAGAUCUCCUGGAACUGGAGUUAUAGGCGGUUGUGGGCCACCAUCUGGGUCCUGGGAUACUGAACCUGUGUCCUCUGCAAGAGCAGCAAGUGUUCUUAACGACUGAGCCAUUUCUUCGGCCCUCUUUCUUCAAUUCUCCAUUGUCCUGCUAGAAGGCAGAAUGACUUCGUCGACAACCUCAUGCAGGAGUGGAACCAAUCUCCUUCCCCGUGGGUGGCUGGGCAUGUAGCUUCCUCUUUCUGUCUUGAGUGUUGCCAAGGAAAAGGGGCUGCAGAUCUCCCCUGGAUUGCAGAGUGGGAGACAAAGCAAGGGCCCCAGAAGAGCUCUCUGGAUGCUCCUGGCUACUGAAUCAACCGCAGAGCGCCCUCUGGGGCUGGGGUCUGACACUGUUACCCCUCCUGGCCUUAUGGACGCAGAUCCAGCUCAGCCUCACAAUGAAUUCAAUGGUUCCUGAAAGCUUGUGCUCGGCCUGCCCACCUUCAUCCACAGGGCAACAUGGGAGCCAGACUUCUCUCUGUGGUAUAAGGCCCCAGUAUCCUGAGUUCUUCCAGGAGAAGGAAGAUGGCGAAGACAGUGAGGGAAGAGAGCAGACGUCUGACUCCGGGGUGCUUAUCUGUGUGGAAGAGACCGGUUCUUCCUGACUGGCUUCAUGUCCCUCAAGAUCCCAAAGAAGGCUAUGGCUAUUUCAAAGCCAGAGAAUAGGGGCAGAGACUCAGCAGCCUGCUCCUGGGUGCAAAGAGACAAGGCCAGGUGCAGCCUGUGCUCACAGUCUUGGAAGCUUGGUGGUGGUGGAGGUGUUCUCCUGGCUCUUCAAGUAUUUACCCGUCUGUGUGUGACUCAUAUCCAGGAACCCAGGCAGCUUCCCUCAAUAGAUUGCUGGCUUCAGAAGAUGAGCCUCCCCUGCCGCUCCACAAGGCUCAAGUGCUUCAAUGAAAUAAAAGAGAACUGAAAUAAAAGAGAAA
rnacentral:lncRNA from 1 species